CCCUUAGAUGUUCUGGGCCGCACGCGCGCUACACUGACGAAUGCAACGAGCUUAUAACCUUGGCCGAAAGGUCUGGGUGAUCUCCAAAUUUCGUCGUGAUGGGGAUAGAUUAUUGCAAUUAUUAAUCUUCAACGAGGAAUGCCUAGUAAGCGCAAGUCAUCAGCUUGCGUUGAUUACGUCCCUGCCCUUUGUACACACCGCCCGUCGCUCCUACCGAUUGAAUGGUCCGGUGAAGCGCUCGGACCGCGGCCUCUUGACGGUUUUCCGUCGAUUGGCUGUGGGAAGUUCGUUAAACCUUAUCAUUUAGAGGAAGGAGAANUCGUANCA
rnacentral:rRNA from 1 species